GGACUACAGGGGUAUCUAAUCCUGUUUGCUCCCCACGCUUUCGCGUCUUAGCGUCAGAAACCGUCCAGAUAGCCGCCUUCGCCACUGGUGUUCUUCCCAAUCUCUACGUAUUUCACCACUACACUGGGAAUUCCACUAUCCUCUCCGGUCCUCUAGUCAUCCAGUCCUGAAUGCAUUUCUUGAGUUAAGCUCAAGGCUUUCACAUCCAACUUGGACAACCGCCUACACGCGCUUUACGCCCAGUAAUUCCGAACAACGCUAGCCCCCUUCGUCUUACCGCGGCUGCUGGCAC
rnacentral:rRNA from 1 species